rnacentral:tmRNA from 2 species
GGGGAUGACAGGAUUCGACAGGAAGCUUUACUUUUCAAGUUGCAAUCCGGGCGUCGCGCUAGUCCGCCCGUAUAUCCGUCUGGCGCAAAACAAAUGCAGAAAAUGCAAAUGAAAUGGCAUUCGUUAGAGCUGCUCGUGCUUUUGCACCAGCUUUGGCCCUUGCCUAAUUGCCUGAAUUUUUCGGGUAACGUCUUACGCGUUGAUGCCUAAUAGAUGCGAUAAGGCGACAAUUUUUAGGAUAAGCGUGCGAAUUUAGAACUGAAUACUGCACGUCGAAAAAAUAUCAGUCCGCUAUUUUGGGUUUUUGUUCGCUUUUAAUCCAAUUUAGCGCAAAACAAACGAACUAAGAUUGUAGGCGCUUGAGAUGUGGCUUUUUGGACCCGGGUUCGACUCCCGGCAUCUCCACCA